GGAGGGAGUGGUGUGAAGGGAACCACGCCGGUUUGCAAGCCGGAGAUGCGGGUUCGAUUCCCGUCUCUCUCCU
rnacentral:tRNA from 1 species